AGUGAACGUUGGCGGCGUGGAUUAGGCAUGCAAGUCGCGCGGAAAGGCCCCGCAAGGGUACUCGAGCGGCGUAAGGGAUAGUAACACGUGGGUCACCUACCCCCGGGACUGGGAUAGCUGCGGGAAACUGCAGGUAAUACCGGAUAACGUCUCCGGACCAAAGGUGUGAUUCCGCCCGGGGAGGGGCCCGCGUCCUAUUAGCUAGUUGGCAGGGUAACGGCCUACCAAGGCUAAGAUGGGUAGGGGGUGUGAGAGCAUGACCCCCAUCACUGGGACUGAGACACUGCCCAGACACCUACGGGUGGCUGCAGUCGAGAAUCUUCGGCAAUGGGCGCAAGCCUGACCGAGCGACGCCGCGUGCGGGAUGAAGGCCCUCGGGUUGUAAACCGCUGUCAGAGGGAUGGAAAUGCCAAGGGGUUCUCCCCUUGGUUUGACUGACCCUCAGAGGAAGUACGGGCUAAGUUCGUGCCAGCCGCCGCAGUAAGAC
rnacentral:rRNA from 1 species